rnacentral:tRNA from 3 species
GGCGUUGUGCGAUAGUGGUUAUUCGGCGGGUCUAGAAUCGUUUUGAGAUUAAAUUCUUCUUUUCUCGACGUUCGCAAGAUAACCCGUGCCUUCAGGCUCGCAUGUUCGAAUCAUGCCAACGUCG